rnacentral:rRNA from 1 species
CUACGGGAGGCAGCAGUGGGGAAUUUUGGACAAUGGGGGCAACCCUGAUCCAGCCAUGCCGCGUGAGUGAAGAAGGCCUUCGGGUUGUAAAGCUCUUUCGGUGGGAACGAAACGGGUGCGCUGAACAAGCGCGCUCACUGACGGUACUCACAGAAGAAGCACCGGCUAACUACGUGCCAGCAGCCGCGGUAAUACGUAGGGUGCGAGCGUUAAUCGGAAUUACUGGGCGUAAAGCGUGCGCAGGCGGUUUCACAAGCUCGAUGUGAAAGCCCCGGGCUUAACCUGGGAAUUGCAUUGAGGACUGUGGAGCUCGAGUGCGGCAGAGGGAGGGGGAAUUCCACGUGUAGCAGUGAAAUGCGUAGGUAUGUGGAGGAACACCGAUGGCGAAGGCAGCCUCCUGGGCCGACACUGACGCUCAUGCACGAAAGCGUGGGGAGCAAACAGGAUUAGAAACCCUAGUAGUCC